rnacentral:rRNA from 1 species
UACGAAGGGUGCAAGCGUUACUCGGAAUUACUGGGCGUAAAGCGUGCGUAGGUGGUUCGUUAAGUCUGAUGUGAAAGCCCUGGGCUCAACCUGGGAAUGGCAUUGGAAACUGGCGACCUAGAGUGCGGUAGAGGGUGGUGGAAUUCCCGGUGUAGCAGUGAAAUGCGUAGAGAUCGGGGGGAACAUCCGUGGCGAAGGCGACUACCUGGACCAGCACUGACACUGAGGCACGAAAGCGUGGGGAGCAAACAGG